rnacentral:lncRNA from 1 species
ACAUACUUCCGAUGUAAACAUGAGAACGAAAAUGCUUUUUCACCUAGCUUCCUUCUUGGUGUUUAUGAAUACGAAUAUCUCUGAAAAGCCACAACUAGAACUAUUCCAUCAGUUUACAUAUGAGUCCAAGGUGACCAACACAAACUGGCACUUCAACUAGUGUAAAUAGUAAACAACAGCUAUUUUAUAAUUAUGAGGUAACCCUUGCAAAUGACCUGCUUGUUGACAAUCAUUCAAUGCUGUUUUACCAUAUGAAAUACAGCAGACCACAUCUAUGUUUUCAACCUAUAAAUAUAUCACAAAGAUGUCAUAGACUAAUGAUAAUUCUGAUAAUAAGCGGUGAUAUAUCAUUAAAUCCUGGUCCAGUAAAGAAUCCAUGUGGCCUAUGCCAUAGACCAUUUGCUAAAAACCAUCGUGCAAUAUACAUGAUAUACUGUGAAUCAUGCUACUGCUGGUGGCAUAUCAAAUGUGCGAACAUCACCCCAACAGAUUAUAAGAUGUGGGGCAAUACUGACGAUCCGUGAGUAUGUCCAGAGUGCAACUCGUUUCACUUCAGCGACUCCUUUUUCAACAAUUCCUAUGAGAUCAAUAGUAAUGAGGAAAAUUCUUUCUCCUCACUUUCAUCAUCACUUAUUUACCAAAAUGAUACAUCGAUCAGCCAGUGAUGAAUCACCAAGUGAAAGUGAUGUAUUUGACCAACUCAGAGAACUUAAAAAGAGACAUCCAAUGCAAUUCACCUGUGCAUACUUAAAUAUAAAUAGCCUAAGACAUAAAUUUUGCUUAAUUGAAGACUUGCUAUCAUCUAGUCUAGUUGAAAUGUUAUUUAUUGCUGAAACUAAAAUAGACAGUUCUUUUCCAGAUGCUCAGUUUCGUGUAAAUGACUAUCAUUUUUGGAGAGCGGAUAGAAACCAGAACGGGGGAGGACUUGUCGCAGAUGCUCGAUCAGAUCUGGUA